rnacentral:rRNA from 1 species
AUACGGAGGAUCCGAGCGUUAUCCGGAUUUAUUGGGUUUAAAGGGUGCGCAGGCGGCCAUUUAAGUCAGCGGUUAAAUCGUGGGGCUCAACCCCAUUCUGCCGUUGAUACUGGGUGGCUUGAUUGCGGUCGAGGUUGGCGGAAUUCGUUGUGUAGCGGUGAAAUGCAUAGAUAUGACGAAGAACACCGAUUGCGUAGGCAGCUGACCAGACCGCAAAUGACGCUCAUGCACGAAAGUGCGGGGAUCUAACAGGAUUAGAUACCCUGGUAGUCCGCACAGUAAACGAUGAAUACUUGUUUUCGGCGAUAUAAUGUCGGAGGCAAAGCGAAAGCGAUAAGUAUUCCACCUGGGGAGUACGCCGGCAACGGUGAAACUCAAAUGAAUUGACGGGG